UGUGGUGGGUGUGGGGUGGGGUUGGUGAGUGCAUUCACUAAAAAUUAGUGAAUGCUUACUCCCUUCACGAUCUACCAGCACAUAUCAUGAACUGGAUGUGUCUUAAUCAGAUCUGUGCACCUUAUUAUUAGAGUUUUUUGUACAUCAGGUUUUGAUUGUAAAUGUAAUCAGACCAUAUUCAUAUGUGUUUCGUUGGGGAAAUUCACAGAAUUGUUACCUACAAGGAUGGUUGCAUACUACAUUUAUUUCAGCUGAAGAAAGGAAUUCAGGGAUGCUGUUGAGUUUGACAAUGAGUCUGCAUAAGUGUGCGCGUGUGGAUGUGUAUUAGAGCAAGAGAAGAAAGUGAAGGGUCUGCAAUGGGGGAUGGCAUUGAUGGUGACUUUACCUUGUCUGCAGGUUUGGGAUUUCCGCUGGAAUGUUGCCAGCACUGGAAUGGAAAGAAACUUCCAGUGGUUCCUCAAUUAUAUCUCUGUCUUUUCUUUGUGGCCGACUUAUGUACAUUUCAUCAAGACUACUGAGUAGUUUGAUGACUAUCAAUUCUGAGCAAAUUUAAUUUGUCACUCUACCACUUAAACUGCUCCUGUUCUGGUUGGCAGUAUUAUAUUGACUGAAUUUAUGUGGAAGUUUGAUUUAGUAUUACUGUUACUAUUGUGGUUUUAACAAUUCAUUUGUGACUUCAACACUAUCUAGCAUUAGUUAUUAUGGUGGAAUAUAGCUCAGCUUUUGUACAUUGAUCCAUUUUGUUGGAUUAUUAUUCUUAAUUGGAACUAGAUUUGGUGAAAUCUUUGCAAGCAA